UCUGGUUGAAUCCUGCCAGUAGUCAUAUGCUUGUCUCAAGGAUUAAGCCAUGCAUAUCUCAGUACGAGCCGCGUUAAGGUGAAACCGCGAAAGGCUCAUUAUAUUAGUUAUGGUUCCUUAGAUCGUACCACGUCUACUUGGAUAACUGUGGUAAUUCUAGAGCUAAUAUAUGCGAACAGAGUUCCGACCAGAGAUGGGAGGAAUGCUUUUAUUAGAUCAAAACCGAUCGGUCAGCGCGCGUACAGCGCGCCGUCCGAGCGGUGGCGCGCGCGCGCGCGCCCGUCGCCGGGCGUACGCGCCCUCGCGCGCUCCGAACACGUUUGGUAACUCUGAAUAACUUCGUGCUGAUCGCACGGUCUCGUACCGGCGACGCAUCUUUCAAAUGUCUGCCUUAUCAACUGUCGAUGCUAGGUUCUGCGCCUACCAUGGCCGUAACGGGUAACGGGGAAUCAGGGUUCAAUUCCGGAGAGGGAGCCUGAGAAACGGCUACCACAUCCAAGGAAGGCAGCAGGCGCGCAAAUUACCCACUCCCGGCACGGGGUGAUAGUGACGAAAAAUAACGAUACGGGACUCAUCCGAGGCCUCGUAAUCGGAAUGAGAACACUUUAAAUCCUUUAACGAGUAUCCAUUGGAGGGCAAGUCUGGUGCCAGCCGCCGCGGUAAUUCCAGCUCCAAUAGCGUAUAUUAAAGUUGUUGCGGUUAAAACGUUCGUAGUUGAACUUGUGUUCCGCACGGGCAGUACCAAACAACUGGUAAAACAGUAGUGGUACCUUGUCUUACUUCCUGUCUUCGGAUUGGGAAAUGUGCGUGGACGUAUUAUCGGCGUGUUCGCUCUAGCAGCGUUCACAUCAGCCCAUCGCAGUGCUCUUAAACAAGUGUUGCUGUGGGCCGAUACAAAUUACUUUGAACAAAUUAGAGUGCUUAAAGCAGGCUUGUAAUGCCUGAAUAUUUUGUGCAUGGAAUAAUGGAAUAGGACAUCUGUUCUACUUUCAUUGGUUUUUUAGACCAAGAUGUAAUGAUUAAUGGAAGCAGUUGGGGGCAUUAGUAUUACAACGCGAGAGGUGAAAUUCUUAGACCGUUGUAAGACUAACUAAAGCGAAAGCAUUUGCCAAAGAUGUUUUCAUUUAAUCAAGAACGAAAGUUAGAGGUUNGAAGGCGAUCAGAUACCGCCCUAGUUCUAACCAUAAACGAUGCCAGCUAGCAAUUGGAUGUAGCUACUUCUAUGGCUCAUUCAGUCGCUUCUCGGGAAACCAAAGCUUUUGGGCUCCGGGGGAAGAAUGGUUGCAAAGCUGAAACUUAAAGGAAUUGACGGAAGGGCACCACCAGGAGUGGAGCCUGCGGCUUAAUUUGACUCAACACGGGAAAACUUACCAGGUCCGAACAUAAAUGAGUAAGACAGAUUGAUAGCUCUUUCUCGAAUCUAUGGGUGGUGGUGCAUGGCCGUUCUUAGUUCGUGGAGUGAUUUGUCUGGUUAAUUCCGAUAACGAACGAGACUCAAAUAUAUUAAAUAGAUGCAUACAGGACUAUGACAUUGAAGCUUUGCAUACCCGUUUGUUUUUGGGGGCUUCGGUUCUCAUUAGCAAAAUGUGGUUGUGUAGGUGGAGUCAUACCUGUUUGUUUGUCUAAUAUCAAAUAGACACUUAGCUUCUUAAAUGGACAAAUUGUGUCUAACAAUAUGAGAUUGAGCAAUAACAGGUCUGUGAUGCCCUUAGAUGUCCUGGGCUGCACGCGCGCUACAAUGAAGGUAUCAACGUGUAUUUCCUAGGCCGAGAGGUCCGGGUAAACCGCUGAACCACCUUCUUGCUUGGGAUUGUGAACUGAAACUGUUCACAUGAACCUGGAAUUCCCAGUAAGUGCGAGUCAUUAACUCGCAUUGAUUACGUCCCUGCCCUUUGUACACACCGCCCGUCGCUACUACCGAUUGAAUUGUUUAGUGAGGUCUCCGGACGUGAUCGCUGCGACGCCUCGUUGUGUUGCAGUUGCUUCACAGAAGUUGACCGAACUUGGAAAUUUAGAGGAAGUAAAAGUCGUAACAAGGUUUCCGUA
rnacentral:rRNA from 1 species